rnacentral:Y_RNA from 1 species
GGCUGGUCCAAAUGUAGUGAGUUAUCUCACUUGAUUGUUCACAGUCAGUUACAGAUUGAACUCCUUGUUCUACUACUUUCCCCCCUUCCCGCGCUUGACUAGUCUUUA